GAUAAGAACGUAGCGAAAUGCGAUAAGUAAUGUGAAUUGCAGAAUUCAGUGAAUCAUCGAAUCUUUGAACGCACAUUGCGCCCCUUGGUAUUCCGAGGGGCAUGCCUGUUCGAGCGUCAUUAUAACCCCUCAAGCUCAGCUUGGUGUUGGGGCCUGCUGCACUGGCAGCCCUUAAAAUCAGUGGCGGCGCCAUCUGGCUCUAAGCGUAGUAAUACUUCUCGCUAUGGAGUCCUGGUGGAUGCUUGCCAUCAACCCCCAAUUUUUCUAUGGUUGACCUCGGAUCAGGUAGGGAUACCCGCUGAACUUAAGCAUAUCAAUAAGCGGAGGA
rnacentral:misc_RNA from 1 species